rnacentral:rRNA from 1 species
GAUGAACGCUGGCGGCGUGCCUAAUACAUGCAAGUCGAGCGAACGGACGAGAAGCUUGCUUCUCUGAUGUUAGCGGCGGACGGGUGAGUAACACGUGGAUAACCUACCUAUAAGACUGGGAUAACUUCGGGAAACCGGAGCUAAUACCGGAUAAUAUUUUGAACCGCAUGGUUCAAAAGUGAAAGACGGUCUUGCUGUCACUUAUAGCUGGAUCCUCGCUGCAUUAGCUAGUUGGUAAGGUAACGGCUUACCAAGGCAACGAUGCAUAGCCGACCUGAGAGGGUGAGCGGACACACUGGAACUGAGACACGGUCCAGACUCCUACGGGAGGCAGGAGUAGGGAAUCUUCCGAAAUGGGCGAAAGCCUGACGGAGCAACGCCGCGUGAGUGAUGAAGGUCUUCGGAUCGUAAAACUCUGUUAUUAGGGAAGAACAUAUGUGUAAGUAACUGUGCACAUCUUGACGGUACCUAAUCAGAAAGCCACGGCUAACUACGUG